CCCAGAGCCUGAAUCAGUGUGUGUGUUAGUGGAAGCGUCUGGAAAGGCGCGCGAUACAGGGUGACAGCCCCGUACACAAAAAUGCACAUAUUGUGAGCUCGAUGAGUAGGGCGGGACACGUGGUAUCCUGUCUGAAUAUGGGGGGACCAUCCUCCAAGGCUAAAUACUCCUGACUGACCGAUAGUGAACCAGUACCGUGAGGGAAAGGCGAAAAGAACCCCGGCGAGGGGAGUGAAAAAGAACCUGAAACCGUGUACGUACAAGCAGUGGGAGCCUCUUAAUGGGGUGACUGCGUACCUUUUGUAUAAUGGGUCAGCGACUUAUAUUCUGUAGCAAGGUUAACCGAAUAGGGGAGCCGAAGGGAAACCGAGUCUUAACUGGGCGUUAAGUUGCAGGGUAUAGACCCGAAACCCGGUGAUCUAGCCAUGGGCAGGUUGAAGGUUGGGUAACACUAACUGGAGGACCGAACCGACUAAUGUUGAAAAAUUAGCGGAUGACUUGUGGCUGGGGGUGAAAGGCCAAUCAAACCGGGAGAUAGCUGGUUCUCCCCGAAAGCUAUUUAGGUAGCGCCUCGUGAAUUCAUCUCCGGGGGUAGAGCACUGUUUCGGCAAGGGGGUCAUCCCGACUUACCAACCCGAUGCAAACUGCGAAUACCGGAGAAUGUUAUCACGGGAGACACACGGCGGGUGCUAACGUCCGUCGUGAAGAGGGAAACAACCCAGACCGCCAGCUAAGGUCCCAAAGUCAUGGUUAAGUGGGAAACGAUGUGGGAAGGCCCAGACAGCCAGGAUGUUGGCUUAGAAGCAGCCAUCAUUUAAAGAAAGCGUAAUAGCUCACUGGUCGAGUCGGCCUGCGCGGAAGAUGUAACGGGGCUAAACCAUGCACCGAAGCUGCGGCAGCGACACUAUGUGUUGUUGGGUAGGGGAGCGUUCUGUAAGCCUGUGAAGGUGGCCUGUGAGGGUUGCUGGAGGUAUCAGAAGUGCGAAUGCUGACAUAAGUAACGAUAAAGCGGGUGAAAAGCCCGCUCGCCGGAAGACCAAGGGUUCCUGUCCAACGUUAAUCGGGGCAGGGUGAGUCGACCCCUAAGGCGAGGCCGAAAGGCGUAGUCGAUGGGAAACAGGUUAAUAUUCCUGUACUUGGUGUUACUGCGAAGGGGGGACGGAGAAGGCUAUGUUGGCCGGGCGACGGUUGUCCCGGUUUAAGCGUGUAGGCUGGUUUUCCAGGCAAAUCCGGAAAAUCAAGGCUGAGGCGUGAUGACGAGGCACUACGGUGCUGAAGCGACAAAUGCCCUGCUUCCAGGAAAAGCCUCUAAGCAUCAGGUAACAUCAAAUCGUACCCCAAACCGACACAGGUGGUCAGGUAGAGAAUACCAAGGCGCUUGAGAGAACUCGGGUGAAGGAACUAGGCAAAAUGGUGCCGUAACUUCGGGAGAAGGCACGCUGAUAUGUAGGUGAAGCGACUUGCUCGUGGAGCUGAAAUCAGUCGAAGAUACCAGCUGGCUGCAACUGUUUAUUAAAAACACAGCACUGUGCAAACACGAAAGUGGACGUAUACGGUGUGACGCCUGCCCGGUGCCGGAAGGUUAAUUGAUGGGGUUAGCGGUAACGCGAAGCUCUUGAUCGAAGCCCCGGUAAACGGCGGCCGUAACUAUAACGGUCCUAAGGUAGCGAAAUUCCUUGUCGGGUAAGUUCCGACCUGCACGAAUGGCGUAAUGAUGGCCAGGCUGUCUCCACCCGAGACUCAGUGAAAUUGAACUCGCUGUGAAGAUGCAGUGUACCCGCGGCAAGACGGAAAGACCCCGUGAACCUUUACUAUAGCUUGACACUGAACAUUGAGCCUUGAUGUGUAGGAUAGGUGGGAGGCUUUGAAGUGUGGACGCCAGUCUGCAUGGAGCCGACCUUGAAAUACCACCCUUUAAUGUUUGAUGUUCUAACGUGGGCCCCUUACCGGGGUUGCGGACAGUGUCUGGUGGGUAGUUUGACUGGGGCGGUCUCCUCCUAAAGAGUAACGGAGGAGCACGAAGGUUGGCUAAUCCUGGUCGGACAUCAGGAGGUUAGUGCAAUGGCAUAAGCCAGCUUGACUGCGAGCGUGACGGCGCGAGCAGGUGCGAAAGCAGGUCAUAGUGAUCCGGUGGUUCUGAAUGGAAGGGCCAUCGCUCAACGGAUAAAAGGUACUCCGGGGAUAACAGGCUGAUACCGCCCAAGAGUUCAUAUCGACGGCGGUGUUUGGCACCUCGAUGUCGGCUCAUCACAUCCUGGGGCUGAAGUAGGUCCCAAGGGUAUGGCUGUUCGCCAUUUAAAGUGGUACGCGAGCUGGGUUUAGAACGUCGUGAGACAGUUCGGUCCCUAUCUGCCGUGGGCGCUGGAGAACUGAGGGGGGCUGCUCCUAGUACGAGAGGACCGGAGUGGACGCAUCACUGGUGUUCGGGUUGUCAUGCCAAUGGCACUGCCCGGUAGCUAAAUGCGGAAGAGAUAAGUGCUGAAAGCAUCUAAGCACGAAACUUGCCCCGAGAUGAGUUCUCCCUGACUCCUUGAGAGUCCUGAAGGAACGUUGAAGACGACGACGUUGAUAGGCCGGGUGUGUAAGCGCAGCGAUGCGUUGAGCUAACCGGUACUAAUGAACCGUGAGGCUUAACCUUACAACGCCGAAG
rnacentral:rRNA from 1 species